GACGAACGCUGGCGGCGUGCUUAACACAUGCAAGUCGAACGGAAAGGCCCUGCUUGCAGGGUGCUCGAGUGGCGAACGGGUGAGUAACACGUGGGUGAUCUGCCCCUUACUUUGGGAUAAGCCUGGGAAACUGGGUCUAAUACUGGAUAGGACCAUGCUGUAGGUGGUGUGGUGGAAAGAUUAGUUUCGGUAAGGGAUGAGCUCGCGGCCUAUCAGCUUGUUGGUGGGGUAAUGGCCUACCAAGGCGUCGACGGGUAGCCGGCCUGAGAGGGUGGACGGCCACAUUGGGGCUGGGAUACGGCCCAGACUCCUACGGGAGGCAGCAGUGGGGAAUAUUGCACAAUGGGCGCAAGCCUGAUGCAGCGACGCCGCGUGGGGGAUGACGGCCUUCGGGUUGUAAACUCCUUUCAGCCAUGACGAAGCCCUUGUGGUGACGGUAGUGGUAGAAGAAGCACCGGCUAACUACGUG
rnacentral:rRNA from 1 species